UGCAGUCGAACGGUGAAGCUCCAAGCUUGCUUGGGGUGGAUCAGUGGCGAACGGGUGAGUAACACGUGAGCAACCUGCCCCAGACUCUGGAAUAAGCGCUGGAAACGGCGUCUAAUACUGGAUAUGAGAUCAGUCCGCAUGGGCAUGGUCUGGAAAGUUUUUCGGUUUGGGAUGGGCUCGCGGCCUAUCAGCUUGUUGGUGAGGUAAUGGCUCACCAAGGCGACGACGGGUAGCCGGCCUGAGAGGGCGACCGGCCACACUGGGACUGAGACACGGCCCAGACUCCUACGGGAGGCAGCAGUGGGGAAUAUUGCACAAUGGGCGAAAGCCUGAUGCAGCGACGCCGCGUGAGGGAUGACGGCCUUCGGGUUGUAAACCUCUUUCAGCAGGGAAGAAGCGAAAGUGACGGUACCUGCAGAAGAAGCACCGGCUAACUACGUGCCAGCAGCCGCGGUAAUACGUAGGGUGCGAGCGUUGUCCGGAAUUAUUGGGCGUAAAGGGCUUGUAGGCGGUUUGUCGCGUCUGCUGUGAAAAUCCGAGGCUCAACCUCGGACUUGCAGUGGGUACGGGCAGACUAGAGUGUGGUAGGGGAGACUGGAAUUCCUGGUGUAGCGGUGAAAUGCGCAGAUAUCAGGAGGAACACCGAUGGCGAAGGCAGGUCUCUGGGCCACUACUGACGCUGAGAAGCGAAAGCAUGGGGAGCGAACAGGAUUAGAUACCCUGGUAGUCCAUGCCGUAAACGUUGGGCGCUAGGUGUGGGACUCAUUCCACGAGUUCCGUGCCGCAGCUAACGCAUUAAGCGCCCCGCCUGGGGAGUACGGCCGCAAGGCUAAAACUCAAAGGAAUUGAC
rnacentral:rRNA from 1 species